ACUUUCGGUUAUCUAGCUUUAUGAAGACUUGACCCCACUCAUACAGCUAGAUAACCAAAGAU
rnacentral:pre_miRNA from 1 species